AACUUACCGAAAGGUGAGCUAAUGCCGGAUGAGUUAUAUAAGUGCAUGUUUAUAUAGGAAAAGUUGGGGAGACCUGACGCUGAAAGAUGGACUCGCGUCCCAUUAGCUAGUUGGUAGGGUAAUGGCCUACCAAGGCGACGAUGGGUAGCCGGCCUGAGAGGGUGGCCGGCCACACUGGGACUGAGACACGGCCCAGACUCCUACGGGAGGCAGCAGUGGGGAAUUUUGCGCAAUGCUCGUAAGAGUGACGCAGCGACGCCGCGUGAAUGACGAAGGCCUUCGGGUCGUAAAGUUCUUUCGACAGGGAAGAAAAUGCCUAUAAGUAACUGUGUAUGUAUUGACGGUACCUGUAUAAGCAGCCCCGGCUAACUCCGUGCCAGCAGCCGCGGUAAUACGGAGGGGGCGAGCGUUGUUCGGAGUGACUGGGCGUAAAGAGCACGUAGGCGGUGUUGUAAGUCAUUAGUCAAAGACUAGAGCUCAACUUUAGUAAGGCUAGUGAUACUAUAAUACUAGAGUAUCAGAGAGGAUUGCAGAAUUCCUGGUGUAGCGGUGAAAUGCGUAGAUAUCAGGAGGAAUACCGUUAGCGAAGGCGGCAAUCUGGCUGGAAACUGACGCUGAGGUGCGAAAGCGUGGGUAGCAAACAGGAUUAGAUACCCUGGUAGUCCACGCUGUAAACGAUGGAUGCUAGGUGU
rnacentral:rRNA from 1 species